CAUACCUAUAACGUUGCCUCGGCGGGAACAGACGGCCCCGUAACACGGGCCGCCCCCGCCAGAGGACCCCCUAACUCUGUUUCUAUAAUGUUUCUUCUGAGUAAACAAGCAAAUAAAUUAAAACUUUCAACAACGGAUCUCUUGGCUCUGGCAUCGAUGAAGAACGCAGCGAAAUGCGAUAAGUAAUGUGAAUUGCAGAAUUCAGUGAAUCAUCGAAUCUUUGAACGCACAUUGCGCCCGCCAGUAUUCUGGCGGGCAUGCCUGUUCGAGCGUCAUUACAACCCUCAGGCCCCCGGGCCUGGCGUUGGGGAUCGGCGGAAGCCCCCUGCGGGCACAACGCCGUCCCCCAAAUACAGUGGCGGUCCCGCCGCAGCUUCCAUUGCGUAGUAGCUAACACCUCGCAACUGGAGAGCGGCGCGGCCACGCCGUAAAACACCCAACUUCUGAAUGUUGACCUCGAAUCAGGUAGGAAUACCCGCUGAACUUAAGCAUAUCA
rnacentral:rRNA from 1 species